GGGUGUGAGCGGUAUCUACGGCUUUUGGGACCGCCUUCUCCCGACGGAGUCUUUUCAAUGGACUGGAGAAAGGAAGGCUCAUCCUGCCAUUUACAAGGUCACUUUCACAUGGGUGAAAUAUUUUACAGGAUAAAUCAAGGACCAAGGAAGAUCUUCCUAGGCCCUAAACUGUGCCACCUUGGAGUGAUGUAGGAUCCCCUCAGUGAAGCAACAGAAGUGUGCCACCUGGGAGGCUGGGUGAAUGGCCAGGUCUGAGCAACUGAUGGUGAGUCCAGACCGCUGCUCCUGUCUCUCUCGGUACACGUGCCUGUGCGGUGUCACCAGUUCCAGGAAAUAAACGGGGAGUUACACGCAUGACU